CUCCUACGGGAGGCAGCAGUGGGGAAUAUUGGACAAUGGGGGGAACCCUGAUCCAGCCAUGCCGCGUGUGUGAAGAAGGCCUUAUGGUUGUUUGUAAAGCACUUUAAGCGAGGAGGAGGCUCUCUUGGUUAAUACCCAAGAAGAGUGGACGUUACUCGCAGAAUAAGCACCGGCUAACUCUGUGCCAGCAGCCGCGGUAAUACAGAGGGUGCGAGCGUUAAUCGGAUUUACUGGGCGUAAAGCGUGCGUAGGCGGCUUUUUAAGUCGGAUGUGAAAUCCCCGAGCUUAGCUUGGGAAUUGCAUUCGAUACUGGGAAGCUAGAGUAUGGGAGAGGAUGGUAGAAUUCCAGGUGUAGCGGUGAAAUGCGUAGAGAUCUGGAGGAAUACCGAUGGCGAAGGCAGCCAUCUGGCCUAAUACUGACGCUGAGGUACGAAAGCAUGGGGAGCAAACAGGAUUAGAUACCCUGGUAGUCCAUGCCGUAAACGAUGUCUACUAGCCGUUGGGCCCUUUGAGGCUUUAGUGGCGCAGCUAACGCGAUAAGUAGACCGCCCGGGGAGUACGGCUGCAAGACUAAA
rnacentral:rRNA from 1 species